UUCUCAAAUACCCUGGAAACCGACCAUUGUUUUCUGAUUUUAUUUUUAUUCAUCAGCUAAUUAGGAUCCGAAGCAUGGUGGACGGUAGUACCCGGCGUUUGCCUUCAUGGAUGGUCGCUAAUGGAGAUAAAAAUAAGACGGCGACGGCAGAGCCUCUCUCAAAUUGUGGAACUAACAAUAAGAAGAAAGUUAAAAAUGUAGUCAGCAGAAAAGGGGUUGGGAAAAAAAGAAAAGCCAACGAUGCUGUUGAAGACGAUGAUGACAUGAUGGUUAAAGAUUUCGUGAGCAGCGCUCAGGAGGAUAAAAAGGUUGGUAAAAAAAGAGGAGGAAAAAAAACCGUUGAGGAAGAUGAUGAAUUGACGGUUGAAGAUUUAGUGAGCAUUGCUCAGGAGUAUGUAAGGGACCAUGAGGAGGAUUUGGAGCCAAAGCAGUCAUUGGAGAGAAAAUGUUCAACAACAAUAACUCCCUCUAGCAAUGGUUGUAAGAGCGACCAGCAAUUGCCCUGUGCUGAAAUUGCUGAUUCUUGCAGUUCAACUCUGAAUUUGACAAGCCAACAAAGCUUCAUCAAGGUUAGCACAAUGGGGGAUCCUGCUCAGGAAAUGCUUCAUCUGUUUUUGGGUCCCUUGCUGAAGAAACCACUAGAAGAUGAAACCAAAAGUGUAUUUUUCAGAAAUGAUAUGGAUUUUCCCUAUGAUUUGGGAAGGCAAACUCAAACUGAUGUUGGACAGGAAUUGGGUCCCCACACAAAAAAGAAGAGCAGUUUAAAAGACAAGGUUUCAUCGUUACUUGACUGAAUAUGAUCUGUAUAGUUCCCUAUGCACAUGCAAACAGAAGUUUUGACCCUCUUCAAUGGAACUUUUCAUCAACGCAACAACUUUCACCACAGGUAAACUUGAAGCUUAAGUAGCUUCAGGGUUGAUCAUAUGGGGGACUCCCAACAGUUCCUUCUGUACUUAGAGCGGAGCAGUCCAUAUUCUAUCUCAAAGACAAAUUUGAGGGUGGAACUCUUUUCUGAUCUUUAUCAUGAUUCUCAAGUGUCAAACAGACAUCACAAGGAAAACAUCUUUUGUCGUCAGCAAUUUUGGAUACAGAAGUUUUGUAGAUACGGAAGCUAAUGGUAAUGGCAAACAAGACCCUAGUAACUAAUAGUGGCAAGUUGUGGUGCUUUUGAAAGGCAAGACUGAAUUACUAAAAUAUGGGUCACUUGAAAGAGACUUCAUCAGUAGCUAAUCAUUGCAACUUGGGGCAUUGGCAAGGCUAUGCUAAGGUAUCCUAUUUCUCGGCAAGUUGAAUUCUGUCAGGUUAAAACUUGUUUUAGAGGAACCUUUUUUGUCUCUUCAUUUUGCUGAUUUUGCCUGUUUUUGAGCUCUAUGAUACACAUGGAAGAAGAGAAAUUCAUACUUGCAGAAAUGAUAUGCUCAUUCAUGUUGUGGGGGAUGCCUAACAAUUCAAGUCUAUAAGAGAAAUGAAGCUCGAAGUAUGCUCAAGGUAAGUCCUUUGGACAACAAACCGAAAAUAGCUUUUGGAAAUGGGAAUAAUUUUCUCCACAUAGGCGGCUAAGCUUUUGUGGGUUUGCAUUGGGCAGAGAUGAUGCCUUAUGCAUGUGAUAUCGGCGUAUCAUCAACCGCAAAGCAUUAUUGGGUCUGUUGGUGAACGGAAUCCUGCAUUUAUAAUGUUUAUUUAGUCUAAUGGCAUUAUUUUAAUGGGUAAAAGCCCUCAGUUGUCUGUUUCUGUCUCACAAAGUUCAUGGCUGAGAACAUUCACACUAUUUAGAUAUAUUUUAUUUCAAUAUUAUAUCCGUUUUUUCUAACAAA